rnacentral:rRNA from 1 species
AUACGAAGGGGGCUAGCGUUGUUCGGAAUCACUGGGCGCAAAGCGCGCGUAGGUGGAUCAAUUAGUUGAGGGUGAAAUCCCGGGGCUCAACCUCGGAACUGCCUUCAAUACUGUUGAUCUUGAGACCGAGAAAGGUGAGUGGAAUUCCUAGUGUAGAGGUGAAAUUCGUAGAUAUUAGGAAGAACACCAGUGGCGAAGGCGGCUCACUGGCUCGGUACUGACGCUGAGGUGCGAAAGCGUGGGGAGCAAACAGGAUUAGAAACCCUAGUAGUCC